rnacentral:tRNA from 1 species
UUAAUUGAAGCCAAAAAGAGGCAUAUUACUGUUAAUAAUAAAAUUGGAAUAAUCUCCCAAUUAAA